rnacentral:rRNA from 1 species
CCUACGGGAGGCAGCAGUGAGGAAUAUUGGUCAAUGGACGAGAGUCUGAACCAGCCAAGUCGCGUGAAGGAUGACUGCCCUAUGGGUUGUAAACUUCUUUUAUAAAGGAAUAAAACGAGGCACGUGUGCCUCUUUGCAUGUACUUUAUGAAUAAGGAUCGGCUAACUCCGUGCCAGCAGCCGCGGUAAUACGGAGGAUCCGAGCGUUAUCCGGAUUUAUUGGGUUUAAAGGGAGCGUAGAUGGGUUGUUAAGUCAGUUGUGAAAGUUUGGGGCUCAACCGUAAAAUUGCAAUUGAUACUGGCAGACUUGAGUGUAGGUGAGGUAAGUGGAAUUCGUGGUGUAGGGGUGAAAUGCGUAGAUAUCACGAAGAACCCCGAUUGCGAAGGCAGCUAACUAAACUGUGACUGACAUUGAUGCGCGAAAGUGUGGGUAUCAAACAGGAUUAGAUACCCCUGUAGUC